GCCGGGUGUCGGAAAUGGUCGGGAUAGCUCAGCUGGUAGAGCAGAGGGCUGAAAUACAAUAGCUCAGCCGGUAGAGCAGAGGACUGAAAAUCCUCGUGUCAC
rnacentral:tRNA from 1 species